AGUGAACGCUGGCGGUAGGCCUAACACAUGCAAGUCGAACGGCAGCACAGUAAGAGCUUGCUCUUACGGGUGGCGAGUGGCGGACGGGUGAGGAAUACAUCGGAAUCUACUUUUUCGUGGGGGAUAACGUAGGGAAACUUACGCUAAUACCGCAUACGACCUACGGGUGAAAGCAGGGGAUCUUCGGACCUUGCGCGAUUGAAUGAGCCGAUGUCGGAUUAGCUAGUUGGCGGGGUAAAGGCCCACCAAGGCGACGAUCCGUAGCUGGUCUGAGAGGAUGAUCAGCCACACUGGAACUGAGCCACGGUCCAGACUCCACGGGAGGCAGCAGUGGGGAAUAUUGGACAAUGGGCGCAAGCCUGAUCCAGCCAUACCGCGUGGGUGAAGAAGGCCUUCGGGUUGUAAAGCCCUUUUGUUGGGAAAGAAAAGCAGCAGGUUAAUACCCCGCUGUUCUGACGGUACCCAAAGAAUAAGCACCGGCUAACUUCGUG
rnacentral:rRNA from 1 species